rnacentral:tRNA from 1 species
UGGGCUGCAGCUUACUGGUAGAGUGUGUACUUGGCAUGCACCAGGCCCUGGGUUCAAUCCCCAGCAUCCAAA